rnacentral:rRNA from 1 species
UGGGGAAUAUUGCACAAUGGGCGCAAGCCUGAUGCAGCCAUGCCGCGUGUAUGAAGAAGGCCUUCGGGUUGUAAAGUACUUUCAGCGGGGAGGAAGGGAGUAAAGUUAAUACCUUUGCUCAUUGACGUUACCCGCAGAAGAAGCACCGGCUAACUCCGUGCCAGCAGCCGCGGUAAUACGGAGGGUGCAAGCGUUAAUCGGAAUUACUGGGCGUAAAGCGCACGCAGGCGGUUUGUUAAGUCAGAUGUGAAAUCCCCGGGCUCAACCUGGGAACUGCAUCUGAUACUGGCAAGCUUGAGUCUCGUAGAGGGGGGUAGAAUUCCAGGUGUAGCGGUGAAAUGCGUAGAGAUCUGGAGGAAUACCAGUGGCGAAGGCGGCCCCCUGGACGAAGACUGACGCUCAGGUGCGAAAGCGUGGGGAGCAAACAGG